UACAGAGGGUGCGAGCGUUAAUCGGAAUUACUGGGCGUAAAGCGCACGUAGGCGGCUUGGUAUGUCGGGUGUGAAAUCCCCGGGCUCAACCUGGGAACUGCAUCCGAAACUGCCUUGCUAGAGUAUGGGAGAGGGAAGUGGAAUUUCCGGUGUAGCGGUGAAAUGCGUAGAUAUCGGAAGGAACAUCAGUGGCGAAGGCGGCUACCUGGACCAGCACUGACACUGAAGCACGAAAGCGUGGGGAGCAAACAGG
rnacentral:rRNA from 1 species